rnacentral:rRNA from 1 species
UAGGGAAUCUUCCGCAAUGGACGCAAGUCUGACGGAGCAACGCCGCGUGAGUGAAGAAGGUUUUCGGAUCGUAAAACUCUGUUGUAAGAGAAGAACAAAUUGUAGAGUAACUGCUACAGUCUUGACGGUACCUAACCAGAAAGCCACGGCUAACUACGUGCCAGCAGCCGCGGUAAUACGUAGGUGGCAAGCGUUGUCCGGAAUUAUUGGGCGUAAAGGGUGCGUAGGUGGUCCUUCAAGUCGGUGGUUAAAGGCUACGGCUCAACCGUAGUAAGCCGCCGAAACUGGAGGACUUGAGUGCAGGAGAGGAAAGUGGAAUUCCCAGUGUAGCGGUGAAAUGCGUAGAUAUUGGGAGGAACACCAGUAGCGAAGGCGGCUUUCUGGACUGCAACUGACACUGAGGCACGAAAGCGUGGGUAGCAAACAGG